UACGUAGGUGACAAGCGUUGUCCGGAUUUACUGGGCGUAAAGAGCGCGCAGGCGGUCGAUCAAGUCGAGUGUGAAAGCCCCCGGCUCAACUGGGGAGGGUCAUUCGAUACUGAUCGACUCGAAGGCAGGAGAGGGUAGUGGAAUUCCCGGUGUAGUGGUGAAAUGCGUAGAUAUCGGGAGGAACACCAGUGGCGAAGGCGGUUGCCUGGAGCUUUGCUGACGCUGAGGCGCGAAAGCGUGGGGAGCGAGUCCGG
rnacentral:rRNA from 1 species